rnacentral:miRNA from 1 species
UUGGUUUGGUUUGGUUUGUGUUUUUUUGAGACAGGGGCUUCCUCUGUAUUCCAGGCUGGUCUUGAACUCACUAUGUAGCUCAAGCUGGCCUCAAACUCAUGGCAGUACUCCUGCCUCAGCCUC